UUACGGCCAUAUCACUUUGAAGCACUGUUCCCGUACGAUCACCAAAUUAAGCAACGUCGAGCCUGGUCAGUACCUAAAUGGGUGACCACUCGGGAAUAC